rnacentral:lncRNA from 1 species
UGGAAUCUAUAAAUAUUAGUUCUGUUACUUCUUCAAUAAUUCAUAUGCUCAAUACAUCUAGUAAACCUGACAGACAUGGAAACCAAAUCCAUUAUGUUUACAUUUCUUAUCUUAUGCCUUGUUCUCUCUCCAUCAUUACCCAGUAGCGACGCUGCUCGCUUCAACCAUAGAGGUGAUUUCAACUUUUUACAAACAAUUUUCCUGUAACUUCUUGCUGAAUUUUCAUUUAGCAUAUACUUAGAGGUGCUUUGGGGUUCUCUGCAGUUUGCCCCCACAUCCAAUUCAAUCUAAUAAUUUGGGCAAUGCAUGGAUCGACUAAUAUAUAUAAUUACCCCAUGAUUUUUUUGGUUGGCAUGAUGGCUCAAAAAUCAAUCCAAUCUCAAACUAGCUAAAUUAACAUAAUUAUCUUGAUAUCUUAUAUAUAUUAUGAUUUUCUUGUGUGGCUGCAGAGCUUCUUCAGGUUCCACGUCCCCCAUGCCCAAGAUGUUUGUGUUGCCCUGGACCUGUUCCAACAGGAGGAUGUUGUAGAUGUGGGUGUGCUCCUCCUAGGCCUAUUUAUCCAUGAUCACGUUGCCAUCAUUUCGUAAAAGUUCUUAAGUUUAUGGGAAGUAAAGCUUUGUCUUGUUUUUUUUCAUGGCCUACUAUGUAUAUGAAGUCAACAAGAAGAUCAACUUGAUGCUGCUGUAGUCUCCGUUGGUAGAUACUACUGUCUUGUGUAUAUGAAGUCAAUAAGAAGAUCAACUUGAUGUUUCAAACUAAAGAAGAUACUACUGUCUUGUGUCAAUCACUCGAUCUGUUGUAGUUCUUUGGAUGUCUAUUACAUGUGAAGAUUAUAUUCUAGUAGGCAGUAGCUGUUCUUGUGUCGAUCUGAUUAAGCAUAAUAUGAAUAAACAUAUAUUAUAAAUAAACAUAUAGUUGUAAUAAAUUGCCGCAUCCGUUUUAUGCAAGACUUUUCACAGUUUUUAUUGGGGAUAGUGAUUUUUGCUUUAAAUCAUAUAUCUGACCAUAAGAAGGGCAUGCCUGAAGAUCGACACAGUUUUUAAUUCUCAUAUCUUUGCUGUCAAUGCAUUAUGGUUACAUUUCUAAUCUUAUGCC